AACAAACGCUGGCGGCGUGCCUAACACAUGCAAGUCGUACGAGAAAGGGUCUUUCGGGAUCUGAGUAAAGUGGCGCACGGGUGAGUAACGCGUGGAUAAUCUGCCCUUCAGUUGGGAAUAACUCAUCGAAAGGUGGGCUAAUACCGAAUAAUGCUGUGAGACCUCGGUUGAUCAGCCAAAGAGAGCCUCUGCUUGCAAGCCCUUGCUGAAGGAUGAGUCCGCGUACCAUUAGCUAGUUGGUAGGGUAAUGGCCUACCAAGGCGACGAUGGUUAGCUGGUCUGAGAGGAUGAUCAGCCACACUGGAACUGAGACACGGUCCAGACUCCUACGGGAGGCAGCAGUGAGGAAUCUUGCGCAAUGGGGGAAACCCUGACGCAGCAACGCCGCGUGAGUGAGGAAGGUCUUCGGAUCGUAAAGCUCUGUCGGAUGGAAAGAACCGCAUAGGGGUAAACAGCCCCUGUGUCUGACGGUACCAUCAAAGGAAGCACCGGCUAACUCCGUGCCAGCAGCCGCCGUAA
rnacentral:rRNA from 1 species